rnacentral:misc_RNA from 1 species
ACGAAUGGUCAUCCUUGAUCUUCUUACCCUCAAACCACUGUGGACACAAGAUGUGCUUCGGCGUCGAGAGGCGCCGCCUUUAUGCUCCAUCAAGUCUUUCUUGUCUGUACAAAUAAAUGUCA